rnacentral:rRNA from 1 species
GUGGGAUUAGCUAGUUGGUGGGGUAAAGGCCCACCAAGGCGACGAUCCCUAGCUGGUCUGAGAGGAUGAUCAGCCACACUGGAACUGAGACACGGUCCAGACUCCUACGGGAGGCAGCAGUGGGGAAUAUUGGACAAUGGGCGAAAGCCUGAUCCAGCCAUGCCGCGUGUGUGAAGAAGGCCUUCGGGUUGUAAAGCACUUUAAGCGAGGAGGAAGGUUCGCUGGCUAAUAUCCAGCGGAAUUGACGUUACUCGCGGAAUAAGCACCGGCUAACUCUGUGCCAGCAGCCGCGGUAAUACAGAGGGUGCAAGCGUUAAUCGGAAUUACUGGGCGUAAAGCGCGCGUAGGCGGUUGUGUAAGUUGGAGGUGAAAUCCCCGGGCUUAACCUGGGCACUGCCUUCAAAACUGCACGGCUAGAGUAUGGGAGAGGAAGGUAGAAUUCCAGGUGUAGCGGUGAAAUGCGUAGAGAUCUGGAGGAAUACCGAUGGCGAAGGCAGCCUUCUGG